AUGGCACCAUCCCCCCCCCCCAACCCUCCUUGCACACCCGUGGGGACCACCCUGGGGGCUCUGUCUCCUUGCUCUGGCUGCAGCCUCCCAGAAAACUUGAAGGCUCUGCACUUGUGGGAUUUUCUCCCUCGUCUGCCUGUCCUGAGAGCAGAAGGGGCUGGCCAGAAGCCCCCAGCCUCCUGUCCUCCCCCCGGAACAACCCCUGAAUGCUUUCCAGAGGGCUGGGAGCUGUUUGCACCCGAGCUCCAAGAACCCACAGCCGACAAAAGGCACCAGGAAGAAGGGAGCGGAGACUUUGCAGAGCUGGGGGCAAGAAAAGGGGAGAUUUUAGGGACCGGUGAUGGGGCUGUAAAACACGAGGAGGCCGAGGCCUGGAGAUGCGUGCUCUGGGAGGCCGCGCUGUGCUGGCUGAAGGAAGCAGCAGCAGGAAGGCUGCCCCUGACCUUGCCCGGCCUCAAGGCUCCUCCGCGGCCUCGACAGAGCUGGGUGGGCACCGGCCAUCGGCCUGAGCCCGGUGUCCCCCCUGGCAGGGCCUGGCUUUUGGUCCCGGUGCUGCUGGAGGGCCGGGGCGCUGCGCCCCAGCCCAGCCCAGGCCCAACUCCCGGCCUUCUGGCAAAGGAUCUCAGGGACUCACGGGUUUUUAGUUAUUUGCUGGAAGGUUGGUUUGGCCUUAAAGGACAGCGGCGUGGGCAGAGCAGGGAGGUGGUGGUGGCCAGCCCCUUCCUCUUCUGGACAUCACGAGCUCCGGCCCACGAGGAGCCACCAGCGGGGCCGGGUGCUUGGCACCCACCAAAGGCUCCGGGUUGCACGGACGUCCUCCAAGCGGCUUCUCCUCACAGCAGCCACGCAGUUUGCAGGGAUGCCACUGCCAUGGGUUGCAGGAGACGUCUGAAGGCCGCCACGAUGAGGGUAGCCCUCGCCAAGGAGCUCGCCUGGCUGCGGCGCAAGGCUGCGGCCGCCCCCAUUUUCUGUCUCCUGCUUUGCUCGGACACCCAAAGUUCCUCUGCGCUUGGCUUCCAUCCAUCACCCAGCUCCAGCAGCAGCUGA
rnacentral:lncRNA from 1 species